rnacentral:misc_RNA from 15 species
GCCUCUGAGAGGGAUGAAGAUAUUGUUUUCUUUGAUCAGAUUAUGCCGGUAAAGGUUUUCUGGUUUACCCUAUAGGGCUUGUAGCUCAGUUGGUUAGAGCGCGCGCUUGAUAAGCGUGAGGUCGGAGGUUCAAGUCCUCCCAGGCCCACCAGUUACACGAUGCUAAAAGUUGCUAUAUUGGGAGAGUUGAUAAUCCCUUACAGGAAAUUAUUGCCCUUAAUAAAACUUUAUUUUCUAAAAGCAUUCAGAGCUGACAUAGAAUAGAGCUGACAUAGAAUUGAGAAUCUGACAUAGGAAUUAUUGAAAUUGUUUUGGAAUUAUUGAAAUUGUUUUCUAUCAUUUUAAAAGGCUAAAAUAUUCUGUCUCUAUUUUUAAAAUAGCAUCAGGUGUUUUGUAAGAGUGUGAAGUUUUUAAGUGUGAGGUUUUUUAUAUUUUAGUGUGAGGUUUUUAUAAGGGUAUGACGUGAGAGCGUUUUGACCUGUUUUAGGGGCCGUAGCUCAGCUGGGAGAGCACCUGCUUUGCAAGCAGGGGGUCGUCGGUUCGAUCCCGUCCG